rnacentral:lncRNA from 1 species
UAAUUCUUAUAUUAAAGAGUAGUCAUUGGGCACAGAAAUUCUCCUUCAGAAUGAAAAUAGACGACUGCAGGGUGGGCAGCUUUUGGAAGGGAAUGGAGUUGAUUAAGUAUUCAAAAUAAAUGGCAUAUGUACUGUGACUAAGCGUGAACAACAUUAGAAGCAGCUUGGUAUUCAGUAGAUUAUACUGUGCUUGCUAAGGAGGCAGUGUAAUUUGCAGCGUUACAUUCUUUGAAGAUUGAAAUGCUGAGUUGGAUGUCAACAAACAGUGGGUGCAGGUCAAAAUACUUGGAGAUUUCAAAACGGAAUCACUUGGAUGAUACUUGUAUUGUACACACGUGCAUAUAGUAUGUCAGAAUGUGAGUAUCACAGGCUAGUUCAGUAAUACUGUAGUUGUUUCUAAGCUUCUGUAAAAAAUUGAAAUCCUAAUUUCCAGUCAAUUGUAAAACAUUUCCACAGUUACCCUAUAUGCCGUGU